rnacentral:rRNA from 1 species
UGUUCGCCAUUUAAAGUGGUACGCGCGCUGGGUUUAGAACGUCGUGAGACAGUUCGGUCCCUAUCUGCCGUGGGCGCUGGAGAAUUGAGGGGGGCUGCUCCUAGUACGAGAGGACCGGAGUGGACGCAUCACUGGUGUUCGGGUUGUCAUGCCAAUGGCACUGCCCGGUAGCUAAAUGCGGAAGAGAUAAGUGCUGAAAGCAUCUAAGCACGAAACUUGCCCCGAGAUGAGUUCUCCCUGAGACUUUAAGUCUCCUGAAGGAACGUUAAAGACGAUGACGUUGAUAGGCCGGGUGUGUAAGCGCAGCGAUGCGUUGAGCUAACCGGUACUAAUGAACCGUGAGGCUUAACCUUACAACGCCGAAG